rnacentral:rRNA from 1 species
UACGAGAGGCCCAAACGUUAUUCGGAAUUACUGGGCGUAAAGCGUGCGCAGGCGGUGAUGUAAGACAGUUGUGAAAUCCCCGGGCUCAACCUGGGAACUGCAUCUGUGACUGCAUCGCUGGAGUGCGGCAGAGGGGGAUGGAAUUCCGCGUGUAGCAGUGAAAUGCGUAGAUAUGCGGAGGAACACCGAUGGCGAAGGCAAUCCCCUGGGCCUGCACUGACGCUCAUGCACGAAAGCGUGGGGAGCAAACAGG